rnacentral:rRNA from 1 species
ACGGGUGAGUAAUGUAUAGGAAUCUACCUUAGAGUGGGGGAUAACUUGGGGAAACUCGAGCUAAUACCGCAUAUUCUCUACGGAGUAAAGAGGGCCUCUGUUCACAAGCUCUCGCUUUAAGAUGAGCCUAUAUCGGAUUAGCUAGUAGGUUAGGUAACGGCUAACCUAGGCAACGAUCCGUAGCUGGUCUGAGAGGACGGCCAGCCACACUGGGACUGAGACACGGCCCAGACUCCUACGGGAGGCAGCAGUGGGGAAUACUGGACAAUGGGCGCAAGCCUGAUCCAGCAACACCGCGUGUGUGAAGAAGGCCUUCGGGUUGUAAAGCACUUUUAGCAAGGAAGAAAUGCCUAAGGUUAAUACCCUUGGGAAAUGACGUUAUUUGCAGAAAAAGCACCGGCUAACUCUGUGCCAGCAGCCGCGGUAAUACAGAGGGUGCGAGCGUUAAUCGGAAUUACUGGGCGUAAAGCGUGCGUAGGUGGAUAUUUAAGUCGGAUGUGAAAUCCCCGGGCUCAACCUGGGAACUGCAUUCGAUACUGGAUUUCUAGAGUAUAGUAGAGGAAAGC